AGAAGCCAGACAGGGAAUUCUCAAGGGCAUCUCAAGUUCUCCUCAAAGACUACCACUGACAUGGAAGGAAUCUACAUUUUCAAAGAGUUUCGUCUGGCAUCCAGCUAUAUGGAGAGAAGCACCUAGAAGUAGACAGAUUGUGUACAUUUUAGUUUCACCAAAACUCCCAGAAUCCCUCUCCAUGAUUCUGACUGGCGGGACUUCCUGCAGGAUGGUCUACUUCUCCUGUUUCUACCUGCAGACAAGUAUUGCCAGGGAUCAAGGCUGGAACUCUGCUGCCAUGUGUGCUGCUUUGUCCCACACCUUCUCCAGUGUCCCUGUCACUCUA
rnacentral:lncRNA from 1 species